UACGAAGGGUGCAAGCGUUACUCGGAAUUACUGGGCGUAAAGCGUGCGUAGGCGGUUUGUUAAGUCUGAUGUGAAAGCCCUGGGCUCAACCUGGGAAUUGCAUUGGAUACUGGCAGGCUAGAGUACGGUAGAGGGGGAUGGAAUUCCGCGUGUAGCAGUGAAAUGCGUAGAGAUGCGGAGGAACACCGAUGGCGAAGGCAGCCCCCUGGGCCAACACUGACGCUCAGGCACGAAAGCGUGGGGAGCAAACAGG
rnacentral:rRNA from 1 species